CCCAAGAUCCCCCUCACCAGGCUGGAGGCCAGAGUCUCCCUUCUUUGCCAGACAGCUCUGUUUUCUGAGCUCAAAUCGAACACAGCAAGGAGGGGUGGGGAGGAAAAGAUGGACGUUCAAUGAAAUAGGGGACUUCCAAGGUUUCCAGAGAAAAAGACCAAAACUGAACAGAAAAUGUGGUCUCCAAAUACAAGGCUCAAGAGAAAUCUAAAGAGGCAGCAAGGUGGC